rnacentral:rRNA from 1 species
AUUGAACGCUGGCGGCAGGCCUAACACAUGCAAGUCGAACGAGUGGCGGACUGGUGAAUAAUGUCUGGGAAACUGCCUGAUGGAGGGGGAUGACUACUGGAACCGGUAGCGAAUGCCGCUUACGCUCCGAUGUGCUCAGAUGGGAUUAGCUAGUUGGUGGGGUAACGGCUCACCAAGGCGACGAACCCUAGCUGGUCUGAGAGGAUGACCAGCCACACUGGAACUGAGACACGGUCCAGACUCCUACGGGAGGCAGCAGUGGGGAAUAUUGGACAAUGGGCGAAAGCCUGAUGCAGCAACGCCGCGUGUAUGAAGAAGGCUUUCGGUUUGUAAAGUACUGUCAGCGGGGAGGCGGUACCUGAAGAAGAAGCACCGGCUAACUACGUGCCAGCAGCCGCGGUAAUUC